UCCCGCUUAGCUCAGCUGGUAGAGCGCGUCACUAGUAAGAUAUGACGAGGUCAGUCGUUCAAGUCGGCUAGUGGGAA